CACGUAGUUAGCCGGCGCUUCUUCUGCAGGUACCGUCACUUGCGCUUCUUCCCUGCUGAAAGAGGUUUACAACCCGAAGGCCGUCAUCCCUCACGCGGCGUCGCUGCAUCAGGCUUGCGCCCAUUGUGCAAUAUUCCCCACUGCUGCCUCCCGUAGGAGUCUGGGCCGUGUCUCAGUCCCAGUGUGGCCGGCCGCCCUCUCAGGCCGGCUACCCGUCGUCGCCUUGGUGAGCCGUUACCUCACCAACAAGCUGAUAGGCCGCGGGCUCAUCCUGCACCGCCGGAGCUUUCCACACAGAGGAGAUGCCUCCCUGUGUCGUAUCCGGUAUUAGACCCCGUUUCCAGGGCUUGUCCCAGAGUGCAGGGCAGAUUGCCCACGUGUUACUCACCCGUUCGCCACUAAUCCACCCCCGAAGGGGCUUCAUCGUUCGACUUGCAUGUGUUAAGCACGCCGCCAGCGUUCGUCCCGAGCCACGGAUCAAACUACU
rnacentral:rRNA from 1 species